GCUCGUCAUGUUUUGAUGUAUUUUGGUGAUAAUUCGAUGGUGGACAGAGUAUAGCCAAAAUCUAAGCUGGUAGCUUCUGUUGUUGUUCCCACUCAACUGAGAAGAGAGACUCCAGGCUUGGUUAGCUCGGGCCGGGAUCCCAAGUGUGAUGCAUUGUGUGGUGACAUGGCAUAGCACUUGACAGUGUAUUCCCGUCAUUUUACCAGAAUCAGAGGGCUUUAUGUACAUACCAGAAUAGUUUAGCACAGAGACUCAAAAAUCACAAGACAGGUUAUAAAACAAAACAAAACAAAACGAAAAAAUACAAAACCAGUCCACCUUUCUGUAAAUCUGGCAUAGAAGCCAUGGGAUAAUCCGGACAAUAACCCUCCUUUUACUGGUGGAUUUUUAACAUGAAAAUCCCGUCCUUCAACUGUCCCUGUAAAUUUUGGAGAGAAUAAGUAUUUUUUUGAGCCCAUACAGGGCAUACAACGUAUUCUUUGUGUGUCGGUCACAAUAGAGUCAUAAAUAUUGAUGAUGAUUUUUAAAUAGUGUACGUCGUUUGACCACUGAACUAUAACCUCAAAACCACAACUAGGUGAGAGAGGUUUUUGUAUUCUUUAUGUGAAACAGGUGUUUAUUUCACAGACUUACUGAGUUGUAUUUGAAUGUUCUGUUUUUUGUCAUAUCAACAUUCCUAUAAGUAUCACAAUGUAGGGCUGAAAAAUUAAAGGAUGUAACAGUUUGGACAAAAUACAGGAAAAAUGAAGGGCAUUGCACUGUAUUUUUAUCUUUGUGGCUAAGCUGUGUUUUGUCUGAAAUACAGAAAUGACCAGGUUCAAAACCCAAAGAUGAGCAUUAAGCAAAUGUCUUAUAAAUAUUUAUAUGAGCAUUUAUUAUUAGUUAAGUAACUUGCUAGCUUUAUACUAUGUGUUGUGGCUUUAGGUCACUUCUGUGAAGCUUGUCCAAAGCCUCUGGUCAUAUCUCAUAUGUGAUGCUGUGUAGAGAACUGCAUGAUGUGCAGGCUCUCUUUUUGCCUCCUAAAUGGGAUAAAUAUGUCUCUAUCUCUGUAUCCAUAUAUUUCAUAGAUACUAGCUAUUUCAUAGCUAAGUCUGUUCAGUGAAAACUAAAAUCUGUAACAUCUGGCAUCUGCAGUGCAGGCUGGAAAAAAAACAACAAAACAACAAAAAUCAAUCCACCCCCCCCCCCCCCACAAUGUCAGAUCUCUUUGUUGUGCAGAAUUUCGCGGUGAAGAGUUAGAUCAAGUUUGCUGUUGUGCAGUUGUUACUACCCUUUCUGCUGUUGUUAUUAUCAGUAUGUCUAUCACUCUCAUCCAAAGAUCUCCAAAUGUGGAUAAUUCCUGCAUUGCUCAAGGUGCAGAA